ensembl:rRNA 5S_rRNA 5S ribosomal RNA
GUCUAUGGCCACACCACGCUGAAUGCACCGGAUCUUGUCUGAUCUCGGAAGCUAAGCAGGGCCGGGCCUGGUUAGUACUUGGAUGGGAGAACACCUGGGAUACCGGGUGCUGUAGGCU